CAGUGCCAGGCUCCGCCUCUUCCUCGCAGAGGCCUAUCAGACGCCGGGUCCAGCCAGAUCCCCCUAGACAGAAUAUGUUGUUCUCAUGCCCACCUGGCGGCGAGACUGUCUGGGGUCUACACCCACCCGGAUGGGCACGGUCUUUUGGGGACUGGACAUGGUCUCGAGUGGAGUCCUGGGCUGGGCGCCACGCAGGUGAUGCUAUACGCGGCUCCAAAAGCUUAUGCAGGGUUCGCGCUGGUGCCUAGCUGGGGUUGGAGCUGCCUCUUAACGCGUUUGCAGGAACCCACCCUGACCUCAGGAAUGAUAUGAGCUGAAGUACAGAUGUUAAAAAUUAAACUUCAUGUUUAUUACCGUACGUGGAAACAGGAUUCCCAGAACUGCUUCAGGAAGUGGCAAAACCAAUAGAAUAAGUGUGGCCAGUGUGAGACUAUUUUAAGGGAAUUAAUUGCUGUGUAUCUCUCCAUCAUGUUGCAAAAUUAGAAAGUCAAAGGUCUUUUUAAAAAAUGGUACCAGGAAUCAGACUCUUGACUUCGUGCUUGCCAGACAGGCACUGUGCCACUGAUCUGUAGCACCAGCCCUGCAAAAAGACAAAGCUUUACUGAGUGGCCAACUGCAAAGGAGGUCUGGAGGUAUAAGCUCAAAUCUGCUUCCCGAUCAGUGUAAGUGAGGAGUUUGUGGGAGAUGUUUGUUGGCUGACUGUGUCCUCACAGGUUACACAUCUCUGUUUGAAGGGAGGUAUGUUCUGUGUGAGGGAUUUUGAGCUGUAACAUCUUUGACAAAAGUCUGGCUUCUUUUGCUCAUGUUUGUGCUUGAAAAGCUGGUUCUGUACAGUAAUAAAUCUUAGUGAAAGACCUGGAGGCUCUUCCUGGAAGACAAAGUAUAUGUGAUCAGAUAUGUGCAGGCCUUAACUAAUUGCAAAUAUAGCUUUAUCUAGCCUUUGAUCUGUUUGCCUGAUUUUGCAACAUAAAGAGCCUCCAUUUUUACUUACUUUAAAAGCAAUAAAUUUUGGUACUUUAUUUUCUAUAUAUUUUAGAAUAAAUUUCUUUAAAACAAAACUGGUGGGAUUUUUUUUUUUAUACCGGGGAUCAAACUCAAGAGCUCAUGCUCGCCACAUAGGUGCUUAUACUGCUGAGCUAAAUCCUCGGCUCUGGUGGGAUUUUGAUUAGAUUGCAUUGAGGUUUGUGUGUACAUGUGCACGUGCGUGUUUUGAGGCAGGGGCUCUCUAGCCUUGAACUCACGGUGUAGCCCAAACUAUUCUUGAACUUGUGGCAGUCAUUCUGCCUCAGCCUCUCAAGUGCUCAGAUCACAGGCAUUGGAUUUGCAUUGAGUUUGCACGUUAAGUUAGCACUGACAUCGUUAUAUAGUUAAGACAGAAGAAUGGGACCCUUGUGCCCUGAGAGUCCCAGCUGCUCUGCACACCCUUGUGGUAGGCUGUGGCUUCACGAACACACCCCACACCUGCUCAGGGAGACUUGGAUGUGACAGCUUCCAUCUCAGGUCUGCCCCAGAUGACUGUCCCAUGGCCUCUCUGACCGAUCCCUGUGACUGAGUCAGCUCCGCAAAGCUGUCUCCAGCCUGGCCCUUGGAGUCCCUUCCUACCCACGAUGAGGUGGACCGUCUGUGGUUAACAGCAGGACACGCAUGUUCGAGCCCGCCUUCUUGUCUGUAGAAACAGCCUUUCCCUCUGGCUCAGGCUGUGCUUCCCUCGCCCUUAUGCUGCAGCAUGAGUUCUAAUAAUGGGUCUUCCAGAGAGCAUUUACUUUGCCUCUUCCUGAUCUCUAUCACGGUGGAGCUGGCUGACUUGGAUACCCUGAGUUGGUUACACUAAGGGCCGCUGUCACUGAGAGUGGCCAGAGCUGGGAUCACUUGAGGGUGGCUGAAGAAUGGCAGAGUGCUGAGGAUCAGCUUGAUGCAGUGCAGAGCAGGUGGUGCUUGGUUUUAUGUCAUUAAUAAACUGACAUAAAAGUAAGUUGAAUAGAGAGUCUUUCCCAGGCCUAAGAGACUUGUGGGAGGCCUAUGAUGGGCAUGGGAAUGAAAUUAACCCCCAGGCCAAAGGCCAGGACCCAAACCAGCAGGCAGCCUGUGAAGUCCUGGCCCUGACAGCUGGGAACUUUGACUCACUCAGAUUCCUUUUAGCUCAGUAGUCUCAGCAGAUACCAGGUCACUGGUUAACCGUGAUCUGUUCCCGUGUGCUUUUCCAAAAAUACUAUGUUCUUCGCAUCCUUGAGCCUUGCCUGCAUCAGCGGUUUACUCUUGUCUCUUCCUGCAGUCCACCACAUGCCCUCCUCAAGCUGUGCACCUAAAAAAGGCCAGGGACACCAAGCCUCAUGGUCUUUGUCCUUCUUUAGGCCCUAACUGUCCCAGUUCCCCUUUGAGCUGAAAUACAUGUUCCUUGCCCCUGUUUUAUUCUGUCAUCAUAGCCCUGAGCAGGGGAUCAGUGGUCCUUGGCCAGGGCCUUAUCAGCAGAGAGUGGUGGAGAAAGAGAGAGUUUUGCAGAGCUCUGGAGAGUUGCUGGUUCUGACUUCCCAGAGAGCAACAAUGAGAACUGCUGAUGCCAAACUGACAGCAAAUAAACCCUCUAGUUCCAAGGAAUUUACCACACUCUGUCACAGCCAUGGCUCAACUGUUCCCCUCAGGGUCUUGCUCUAUAGUCCAGGCUGGCCUCGAACUUGUGAUGAUCCUCCUGCCUCAGCCUCUCGGGUGCUGAGAUUACAGGCAUGUGCCACUGGGAUGGUUGGCCGAAUUUUGGAGGUUAAGCCAUCUCUGCAUUCCUCAAAGAAGCCCUAGUUAGGCAAGAUGUAGUCUCUUUCAAGGUCUUGGGAAGCGGAGAGAGGCAUGUGAGGUGUCAGGAAAUACAAAAAACUCAGUCAUCUCUAUGGAUGAUAUUUUAACACAUUUUUUAUUUCAAAAUUAAUGCCACACUGGGCACAUUGACACACACCUGUAAUCCGAGAAAAAGUGAAAAUUUAAAGACAGGAGCAGGAAUAGUGCCACGCCAAGCCAUUAGAGCUGGAGCAAAGUAGAAGCCUCAGUGACACUGAUAUUGUCUUUAUUGCAAUUCUGAUGUUUCCUCAAGUUUUUAAAAUUAAUUUUAGCUACAUCUCCAACCAUUAAUUUUUUUUCAACCAUUAAUUUUUGUUUCUUUUCUGCCCUUCUCAUCUGAGAAUUUUUUUAAAAUUUUGAGAGAAGCUCUCACUAACUUCCCCAACUUGGGUUUAAGCUUACAAUCCCUGUGCCUCAGGCUCCCAGAGCACUGGGGUUACAGAUAUGUACAACCAUUUCCAGCUUCCUGAUAGUUUUUGUUGGAGAGUCCUGUGGGACAGCCAGCACUGUAAGAUGACAAUUCCAGUAUGUUUUUAUUUUUAUUUAUUGGGGAAAUGUCGGGAAUCAAAUUCAGGACCUCACACUUGCCAAGCAGGCACUGUGCCACUGAGCUAAAUCCCUGGCCUCCUGGUAUCGUUUUUAAAUAUCUGUUUGACAGAAAUGGUUCCAAAAUUAGAAGAGUACCUGCUAAGAAAGCUGUUUCUUUCUCUUUCCAGCUAACAAAGUAAAACUUCCCAGUGUUAGGGUUCCAUGACUGUAAUAAAAUGCCUGAAGUAAUCACCUUGUAAAGACAAACAGCCAAGGAGAGGCUGUGGUUCUGUGGCAGAGGAAUGGCAUGGCAUGCACAGAGCCGAGCUUGGUGCUAGCACUGCAAAGAGAAAGAAGGGAAGGGUUAUUUUUGGCUGUCGGUUUUGGAGGCCUCAGUCUGGUCUGCUGAAGCAUUGCUUUUGAGCCUGUAGGGUGGGACAUGAAUGAGGAGGGGACAGGGUUCCACACUUCCCCUCAAGACCACACCUCCAAAGACUUCCCUCUAGGGCCCUUGUCCUGAAGGUUCAUCCCUUCUAGACAGGACCGAGCAAGGGACAGAGGCUUUCAUACUUGGCCAUUUAGGAGACAUUUAAGAAGCAAACGAUAGCACUCCCUGUGUAGCUCCUAUGGUUUCAAUAUUGUGUCCCCUCAGAAGUUAGGUGUGGUGGUCACACCUGUAAUUCCAGCACUCAGGAGGCAGAGGUAGAGGGACUGCUGAGUUUGAGGCUACCUAGGCUACAUAGUGAGUUCAAGGCCAGCCUGAACUAUACGACAAGACCCUGUUUCAAAAAACCAAGAAGAAAAAGAAGACCCUGUCUCACUCUCCCCCCAAAAGAUCUUGUCUCCAAAAACAAAAAAAUUAAGAUUAAAUUUUAAAAAAAUUCAUGUUGAAAUUGGCUCUCGGGGCUAGGGAUUUAGCUCUAGGGGCUGGGGAUUUAGCUCAGCACCAUAAGCACCUGCCUUGCAAGCAGGGGGUCGUGAGUUGGAUCCCCGGUACCGAUAAAAAGGAAAAAAGACAAAAAAAAAAAAAAAAGAAAGCAGAAAAGAAAUUGGCUCUCCAUUCGGAAUACUAGGGGUGUGGCCUCUGGGUGGUGAUUUCUGUGGGCGGUUCCGAGGCUCAGGUGCACUCCCAGCAGGGCUUGCUGAGGACUCUCGCGCUGUGCGCCUCCGCCGUCUGCGGUCUGCCGGUGGGGAAGCCCCGCUGCUCCCUCCAGAGGACCGAGUGCGCACAGCGCCACCUUGGAAGCACAUUCUUGCUACGCGAGAAGUGGGUGCCUUGCCCUCGCGCUUCCAAGCCUCCAGGUCUGUGAGAAGCGUGUCCCUGCUCUUUAUCAAGUGCCCGGGCACAAGAACUCACAAGAACUUUAUUAGAGCCACUCAGGCUGACUAGGACGGUGAGGAGAGAAUUCCAGCAUGGAGUCCGGCUCUUGCCGCCGAGAUUCAGUUCUGCUGUCAGAAGCCUCUAUCUGAGGGUUGAGCUCCCCACUUCUUGUGUUUGUGUGGCUGCAGCUGUCGUCCUGCCGUCCAGCGCCCCUCAUGCUGGCUUUGGGAUGCCUCUCCUGGGAGCUGCCUGGCCUCCUUGCUCUGGCCGAUGGUGGAGGGGGCCUUAGCCGGGAGGACUCAGCCCUGUGCUCCGCAAAGAAGGGAGGCAGGGGCUAAGGACUAAGGUUCUUGGGUUCGUGGAUGGGAAGAUGCUGGAGGGGGAGGGCCAGUGGUCACACUCAUCUCAGAAGCCGAGUAGUGCAGUUACUGUAAAGUGCAGCGAACGUGGAACAGCCACAGAGCCCGACUGCGGGGGGCCGUGGUGACUGUCACACAGCGCUGGAGAGGCAGACAGCAAGGGCACAUCUGACCCCAAACAAACAUCAAGAAACGGGGGUGAGGAGUAGAAGUUGCUGGUAGGAGGCCAUGUCCCCAUGACAAAAACACAAGUUCAGACUGCAGGGAAUUCCCCAGUCAGUGUCCCCCGAGGGGGACAGCCGCCCAGCACGGGAGCUGCCCAGUGGGGAAGAGAAGGACAGACUCUUGCAGCACUGUUGGCUGCAGCCUGAGCUGACUCUGACAUCAGGCUAAGUGCCAUCUAUCUACCUUGCUGUGGGCCCAUGAUGGCGCAGUCUGUCGGAAGUUUGUGCCACAGGCCGCCCCACGGGCAAACAAGCUAGGUCAUUUUGUUCAAGUCGUCCAGAGACAAUGCCAAUGGGCCCCAACAGCAUGCCGUGGACAGCGGAUAUGAGGCCUGUACAAUGGGAGGAGGGUGGCCCAGCCUGGACCUUGUGCUCCCCAGGGACCAGAGGACGUGGCUGUGGGCAGAGGGUGCAUGCUGUGAUUGCAGGAGGAAGCCAGGGCCACUUGUAUAUUCCUUUCUUCUUUCUUUCUUCCAAUAAGUUGGUCCAACUUCACUGUAGUCUGUUACAAAAGACCAUUUAAAUUAGAGCCAGCAUCUUUGGUUUCAAGGCUGUUAGAAAUCUAACAUAUCUUAUUACAGAAAAAUAUAAAUUACAUUAAUUCAAACUACAGAAUAAAAACAAAUAUUUACAAAUAUAUGGUGUAUCCUCAUUAAAUGUUUUUAACUGGUUUCUUCCAACUUCACAACUGUUAACAUUAAAAAAAAAAAAAAACUCCAACAACUAGUUUGGAAUUGAAUGAGAAAACCCACACUUUAUUCUAACAUGAAGGGUGUUCACGGUGGAGGGCUCCAGCCCAAUGCUCCCAGACUACUGGAUGUUGGAAGAUACUCCGUUGCUAGAUGAAAACGUUUUGUAUUUUUUUCUAAUUAGGAAACAUUAUACUCAUGCAUAAGAAAUCAUCUAAUUGCUUUAUAAAUGCAAAAUAAAUUCUUUGAAUAUC